ensembl:rRNA 5S_rRNA 5S ribosomal RNA
GUCUAUGGCCAUACUACCCUGAACCUACCCAAUCUUGUCUAAUCUUGGAAGCUAAGCAGGGUCGGGCCUGGCUGAUACUUGGAUGGGAGACAAAUUGACUCAUAAUCUGGUUUUAAAUACU